rnacentral:rRNA from 1 species
AGAGUUUGAUCCUGGCUCAGAUUGAACGCUGGCGGCAUGCCUUACACAUGCAAGUCGAGCGGCAGCGCGGGGGCAACCCUGGCGGCGAGCGGCGGACGGGUGAGUAAUACAUCGGAACGUGUCCUUUCGUGGGGGAUAACCAGUCGAAAGACUGGCUAAUACCGCAUGAGAUCUCACGAUGAAAGCGGGGGAUCCGCAAGGACCUCGCGCGAUUGGAGCGGCCGAUGUCGGAUUAGCUAGUUGGCGGGGUAAAAGCCCACCAAGGCGACGAUCCGUAGCUGGUUUGAGAGAACGACCAGCCACACUGGGACUGAGACACGGCCCAGACUCCUACGGGAGGCAGCAGUGGGGAAUUUUGGACAAUGGGCGCAAGCCUGAUCCAGCCAUGCCGCGUGUGUGAAGAAGGCCUUCGGGUUGUAAAGCACUUUCGGCCGGAACGAAAUCGCGCGGGCUAUUACCCCGCGUGGAUGACGGUACCGGAAGAAGAAGCACCGGCUAACUACGUGCCAGCAGCCGCGGUAAUACGUAGGGUGCGAGCGUUAAUCGGAAUUACUGGGCGUAAAGGGUGCGCAGGCGGCUCCGCAUGUCAGGCGUGAAAUCUCUGGGCUUAACCUGGGAAUGGCGCUUGAAACUACGGGGCUGGAGUAUGGCAGAGGGAGGUGGAAUUCUACGUGUAGCGGUGAAAUGCGUAGAGAUGUGGAGGAACAUCGAUGGCGAAGGCAGUCUCCUGGGUCAAUACUGACGCUCAUGCACGAAAGCGUGGGGAGCAAACAGGAUUAGAUACUCCUGGUAGUCCACGCCCUAAACGAUGAUGACUAGUUGUUGGAGGAGUUAAAUCCUUUAGUAACGCAGCUAACGCGAGAGUCAUCUGCCUGGGGGAGUACGGUCGCAAGAUCAAAACUCAAAGGACUG